rnacentral:rRNA from 1 species
GACGAACGCUGGCGGCGUGCUUAACACAUGCAAGUCGAACGAUGAUGCCCAGCUUGCUGGGUGGAUUAGUGGCGAACGGGUGAGUAACACGUGAGUAACCUGCCCCUGACUCUGGGAUAAGCGUUGGAAACGACGUCUAAUACUGGAUAUGACUGCCGGCCGCAUGGUCUGGUGGUGGAAAGAUUUUUUGGUUGGGGAUGGACUCGCGGCCUAUCAGCUUGUUGGUGAGGUAAUGGCUCACCAAGGCGACGACGGGUAGCCGGCCUGAGAGGGUGACCGGCCACACGGGGCCUGCGACACGGCCCAGACGCCUACGGGAGGCAGCAGUGGGGAAUAUUGCACAAUGGGCGAAAGCCUGAUGCAGCAACGCCGCGUGAGGGAUGACGGCCUUCGGGUUGUAAACCUUUUUUAGUAGGGAAGAAGCGUAAGUGACGGUACCUGCAGAAAAAGCACCGGCUAACUACGUGCCAGCAGCCGCCGUAA